UUUCCUACCUAUGNGUCUUGACCAAAUUACGUGCCAGCAGUCGCGGUAAUACGUAGAAGACUAGUGUUAUUCAUCUUUAAUAGGUUUAAAGGGUACCUAGACGGUAAAUCAAGUCCUAAAAGGAUACUAAUUUACUAGAGUUUAAUGUGAGGGGGCACUAAAGUACUGAUAAGUGUAGAGAUGAAAUUCUGUGAUACAAUAUACGGCACUGGUAAAGGCGAAAGCAUCUCAUUAUGUAAUAACUGACGUUGAGGGACGAAGGCUAGGUGUAGCAAAAAGGAUUAGAUACCCAAGUAGUCUUAGCAGAAAAUUAUGAAUGUCAUAGGAUAGAAAAAGGGACAAAAUUUUUUUUUCUAUAAAUGAAAGUGUAAGCAUUCCACCUCGAGAGUAAUUUGGCAACAUUGGAACUGAAAUCAUUAGACCGUUUCUGAAACAAGUAGUGAAGUAUGUUGUUUAAUUUGAUAGUCCGCAAAAAACCUUACCACAAUUUGAAUAGAAAAUUUUCUUUCAUACAAGCGCUGCACGGUUGUCUUCAGUUAAUGUCGUGAGAUUUUGGUUAGUUCCAUUAAAUUAACGUAAACCCUUAUUUUAUUUUUAUAUAGAGUAGUUCACCGCUAGAUUGGAUGUGAUAACAGGGACUAAGACAAGUCAUCAUGGCCUUAAUAUUGUGGGCUAUA
rnacentral:rRNA from 1 species